GUAGGUGAACCUGCGGAAGGAUCAUUAUUGAAAUAAACCUGAUGGGUUGUCGCUGGCUCUUCAGGGAGCAUGUGCACGCCCUGUCAUCUUUAUAUCUCCACCUGUGCACCUUUUGUAGACCUCCCCAGGUCUAUGUUGCUACAUUUACCCCCUGAUGUAUGUUGAUAGAAUGGUUGGCUAUAAAAAUCUAUACAACUUUCAGCAACGGAUCUCUUGGCUCUC
rnacentral:misc_RNA from 1 species